rnacentral:misc_RNA from 1 species
GAAUUUUUAGCUUAUUUUGUGUAUAUUGUUCACAAAUCUAAGAUUUUUCUAUUAGGAUAAUCUUAUUUGUGUGAAAUCUUUUGGGGUUUUCCUUUUUUUCUGUGUAUAUUUUGAUUUGGGUUUGGGUUUGGGUUGGUUGUUCUUAUCUUUCCUUUUCCUCUAAGUAAUCUACUUAUUACGUUUGAUUAUUGAAUUUACGUGUUGUGGACGAAAUUGGGGUUGUAUUGUGUUAUUUAAUGAUGGGUAUUGAGUAAAGUUUGGAUCUUUAUUGUUAAAAGGGUUGCUUUAUUUGUUCCCUUUUGUCCCUUUAGUUGUGUGGUGAUUUGGGGGAGUUUGAAAGUUCAAUUGGGUUUGUGGGAUUUGUUGAGAUUGUGUUGAGUUGGGGUGAGUUGAGAGGUUUUGCGGUGGAG